GUAAUCAAAAAUUUUAUUACAAAAAAAAGGGAUACUAUACCCCUUAUAAAAUAAAAUACAAAUAAGUAUGCAGUAAAAAAAUUAAGUAAUUAUAACUUAAUAUAGGUGGGCAUAAAAAGUAUCAUACACUCCUUCCCAGAACGCGUUUCACCAUAACUCCGACGGCUUCCUCAGCUGGGUCCGAUGUGUCUUUCCAAUCUGGUAAAGUCCUGCAAAUA